GACGAACGCUGGCGGCGUGCUUAACACAUGCAAGUCGAACGAUGAAGCUGGAGCUUGCUCCGGUGGCUUAGUGGCGAACGGGUGAGUAACACGUGAGCAAUCUGCCCUUGACUCUGGGAUAACUGCGGGAAACUGUAGCUAAUACCGGAUACUUUCACUGGAAGGCAUCUUCUGGUGAAGAAAGAAUUUCGGUCAGGGAUGAGCUCGCGGCCUAUCAGCUUGUUGGUGAGGUAACGGCUCACCAAGGCGACGACGGGUAGCCGGCAUGAGAGGGUGACCGGCCGCACGGGGACUGAGACACGGCCCAGACUCCUACUGGAGGCAGCGGUGGGGAAUUUUGCACACUGGGCGCAAGCCUGAUGCAGCAACGCCGGGUGAGGGAUGAAGGCCUUCGGGUUGUAAACCUCUUUUAGCAGGUAAGAAGCGAAAGUGACGGUACCUGCAGAAAAAGCACCGGCUAACUACGUGCCAGCCGCCGCAGUAA
rnacentral:rRNA from 1 species